UACAGAGGGUGCGAGCGUUAAUCGGAUUUACUGGGCGUAAAGCGUGUGUAGGUGGCUACCUAAGUCGAUUGUGAAAUCCCUGGGCUUAACCUGGGAAUUGCAGUCGAUACUGGGCAGCUCGAGUUCGGUAGAGGGUGACGGAAUUCCCGGUGUAGCAGUGAAAUGCGUAGAUAUCGGGAGGAACAUCGAUGGCGAAGGCAAUCACCUGGGCCUGGACUGACACUGUGACACGAAAGCGUGGGUAGCAAACAGG
rnacentral:rRNA from 1 species